GCUGGCGUAGCUCAGUCGGUAGAGCUGCUGAUUUGUAAUCAGCCGGUCGGGGGUUCGAAUCCCUCCGCCAGCCCCA
rnacentral:tRNA from 1 species